GCCAGAGGCGGAUAGGGUGUAACUGCCACCGGCGUCCGCCAAUCACAAUGCAGGAAGGUGAUGGAACGCAGUAGCUACAGCCAAUCACGUCCGAUCCCAGGCCAGGAAGAACACCCGCCUCCUGUCGCUCCUCUGGGAUUCACUGAGCGCCUCUUCAUCAUUUCCACCAGCAGGGAGGAAAUCUGAGCCUCCUCACUGAAGCCUCUUGCCAUCUGAAUCUCUCCUGAGAGCAGCUAUUGUGCACAAACGUGUCCAGCUGUGAUUAAGGCUUGUAAGGACGCGUUGAAUCAAUGGGAUGUGAGAGGAAGCGGGCCGAGCGGCUGGGGCUGCAUCACUCCUCAUCUUCACUUCCUGUCCAGCAGCAGCAGCCGAAUGGACGCAUUAAUGACACUUCCCCAUCUCUGAGGGAGAUAAUGGGGCCUUGAGUGCAGAUUAAGGCUGGAGGGUCGGGGCGUGGACGAGGAGUUUUAGUUUCAGCGUCCCUGUUGACUUUCAUGGAGCUGUAGUGGUGCUUAAGGCGAAGCUUUCUGGCUUCUCCUCAUCCUCAGCUCCUCUAAACACCAUUAGCGCUCAGAUGUUCUCGGCGCUGAACGCCAUUUUAAUUUGAGGGCCUGGAUGAUGCGUCUGAGCUGCUCUUCUUCCAGGACGGAGGAUUAAACAACAUCCAACCGCAGGGAUGUUAAAGACACGACCUGCAGGAUCCAGACAGGCAGAAUCACCUGAAUAAUGAAGCAUCUGGAUAAAAAUAAAGAUAAAACUAAUUAUACACAAAA